rnacentral:rRNA from 1 species
UGGGGAAUUUUGGACAAUGGGCGAAAGCCUGAUCCAGCAAUGCCGCGUGUGUGAAGAAGGCCUUCGGGUUGUAAAGCACUUUUGUCCGGAAAGAAAUCCUUGGCUCUAAUACAGUCGGGGGGAUGACGGUACCGGGAAGAAUAAGCACCGGCUAACUACGUGCCAGCAGCCGCGGUAAUACGUAGGGUGCAAGCGUUAAUCGGAAUUACUGGGCGUAAGCGUGCGCAGGCGGUUUGCUAGACCGAUGUGAAAUCCCCGGGCUCAACCGGGAACUGCAUGGUGACUGGCAGGCUAGAGUAUGGCAGAGGGGGGUAGAAUUCCACGUGUAGCAGUGAAAUGCGUAGAGAUGUGGAGGAAUACCGAUGGCGAAGGCAGCCCCCUGGGCCAAUACUGACGCUCAUGCACGAAAGCGU